GGGGGGUUAGCUCAGUUGGGAGAGCGCCGCGUUCGCAACGCGGAGGUCGAGGGUUCGAAUCCCUUACCCUCCA
rnacentral:tRNA from 1 species